AUUGAACGCUGGCGGCAUGCCUUACACAUGCAAGCCGAACGGCAGCGGACCUUCGGGUGCCGGCGAGUGGCGAACGGGUGAGUAAUGUAUCGGAACGUACCUUUCAGUGGGGGAUAACGUAGCGAAAGUUACGCUAAUACCGCAUAUUCUGUGAGCAGGAAAGCAGGGGAUCGCAAGACCUUGCGCUGAUUGAGCGGCCGAUAUCAGAUUAGCUAGUUGGUGAGGUAAAGGCUCACCAAGGCGACGAUCUGUAGCGGGUCUGAGAGGAUGAUCCGCCACACUGGAACUGAGACACGGUGCAGACUCCUACGGGAGGCAGCAGUGGGGAAUUUUGGACAAUGGGGGCAACCCUGAUCCAGCCAUGCCGCGUGAGUGAAGAAGGCCUUCGGGUUGUAAAGCUCUUUCGUCGGGGAAGAAAUCGCAUCAGCUAAUACCUGGUGUGGAUGACGGUACCGGAAUAAGAAGCACCGGCUAACUACGUGCCAGCCGCCGCAGUAACAC
rnacentral:rRNA from 1 species